rnacentral:lncRNA from 1 species
CUUGAAGAUCAUAUUACUAAAUAAGUACAGUAAAAUUUGUAAAAAUUCUCAUUUCUUUGAUUAAUAAUACAUAAAUAUUCAUCAAAUUCUAAGCAUUUCACACCAUUUAUAUACUUUAUUAAUCAUGAUUUCCUAAACAUUUGAAAAAAGGUUGAAUGUAUUGAUUAAAUCCCCUAAGAGGCAGACUGUGUACUUCAUAGAUUUUUCUGCAUACCUUGACAGCUUUUGAUGCUCAAACAUAUUUAAUCACAAAAUAGCAUAUUGGCAUCAAAAGCUAGUCACUUGACUUAAAAGCAUCCAUAUUAUAGGCUUUUAUUCACUGCAUCAUUACUGUAUCUUCCUCUAUUUUAUGAUUAUAACUUAGCUAAACCAUUUAUUUAAAUGUAAACUGGACCUCUGACAUGUUCUACGAAACAAAGAAAUAGAAACCUAAAAACUUAGUGCACAUUCAGCUAUUAAGACAGUAACUAUACUGGUGAUUUCUGUCCAUUUUUUGAUUUUUGUUUUGGUUAGCUUAGUGGAGAUAUAAUUUACAUAAAAUGUACCCAUUUUAAUAGUACAGUUUAAUCAGCCUUGGAAAAUGUAUACACCAAUAUCAUCUCCCAAGAUUUAGAAGAUUUUUUUUUUUACCAGAAAAAGUUUCAUCUCCCUCUGCAGUUCAUCUCUCCCCAGCCCUGGGUAACCACUGGUGUAUUUUUGAUUUACUGGAGGUUAAUUUUGCCUGUUUUAGAAUUUCAUUUAAAUUGAAUCAGACAGUAUGUACCCUUGUGUUUCUUUAGCUUAACACAUUUCGGGGGGGGAGGGGUACCAGGGAUCAAACUCAGGACCUUUGCACAUGUGAGGCAGGCAGCACCACUGAGCUAAAUUCCAGGCCCUUAGCUUAACACCUUUUGAGAUUAAUGCUGUUGCAUAAACCUGUAGUCUAUCCCUUUUUAUUACUGGAUAGUAUGCCAUUGAAGUGUACUGCUAUUUGUUAAUCCAUUGGUUGAUGGUUAUUUGGGUUAUUUCCAGUAUGGGUUAUUAUAAAUAAAUCUGCUACAAAUA